GAUGAACGCUGGCGGCGUGCCUAAUACAUGCAAGUCGAGCGAACAGACGAGGAGCUCGCUCCUCUGACGUUAGCGGCGGACGGGUGAGUAACACGUGGAUAACCUACCUAUAAGACUGGGAUAACUUCGGGAUACCGGAGCUAAUACCGGAUAAUAUAUUGAACCGCAUGGUUCAAUAGUGAAAGACGGUUUUGCUGUCACUUAUAGAUGGAUCCGCGCCGCAUUAGCUAGUUGGUAAGGUAACGGCUUACCAAGGCAACGAUGCGUAGCCGACCUGAGAGGGUGAUCGGCCACACUGGAACUGAGACACGGUCCAGACUCCUACGGGAGGCAGCAGUAGGGAAUCUUCCGCAAUGGGCGAAAGCCUGACGGAGCAACGCCGCGUGAGUGAUGAAGGUCUUCGGAUCGUAAAACUCUGUUAUUAGGGAAGAACAAAUGUGUAAGUAACUAUGCACGUCUUGACGGUACCUAAUCAGAAAGCCACGGCUAACUACGUG
rnacentral:rRNA from 1 species